rnacentral:rRNA from 1 species
AGUGGGGGAUAACGUAGCGAAAGUUACGCUAAUACCGCAUAUGCCCUGAGGGGGAAAGGUGGGGAUCGUAAGACCUAUCGCUUUCGGAGUGGCCGAUAUCAGAUUAGCUAGUUGGUGAGGUAAAGGCUCACCAAGGCGACGAUCUGUAGCUGGUCUGAGAGGACGACCAGCCACACUGGGACUGAGACACGGCCCAGACUCCUACGGGAGGCAGCAGUGGGGAAUUUUGGACAAUGGGGGCAACCCUGAUCCAGCCAUGCCGCGUGAGUGAAGAAGGCCUUCGGGUUGUAAAGCUCUUUCGGACGGAAAGAAACGGCUACGGCUAAUACCCGUGGCUAAUGACGGUACCGUCAGAAGAAGCACCGGCUAACUACGUGCCAGCAGCCGCGGUAAUACGUAGGGUGCGAGCGUUAAUCGGAAUUACUGGGCGUAAAGCGUGCGCAGGCGGUUUUGUAAGACAGGUGUGAAAUCCCCGGGCUUAACCUGGGAACUGCAUUUGUGACUGCAAGGCUAGAGUAUGGCAGAGGGGGGUAGAAUUCCA